rnacentral:rRNA from 1 species
UACAGAGGGGGCUAGCGUUGCUCGGAAUUACUGGGCGUAAAGCGCACGUAGGCGGGUUCUUAUGUCGGUGGUGAAAUCCUGGAGCUCAACUCCAGAACUGCCUUCGAUACUGGGAAUCUUGAGUCCGGGAGAGGUGAGUGGAACUGCGAGUGUAGAGGUGAAAUUCGUAGAUAUUCGCAAGAACACCAGUGGCGAAGGCGGCUCACUGGCCCGGUACUGACGCUGAGGUGCGAAAGCGUGGGGAGCAAACAGG